rnacentral:rRNA from 1 species
GCCUACGGCCAUAGCACCCUGAGAACGCCCGAUCCCGUCUGAUCUCGGAAGCGUAAACAGCGUCGGGCCCGGUUAGUACUUGGAUGGGAGACCGCCUGGGAAUACUGGGUGCUGUAGGCU